AUACGUAUGGUGCAAGCGUUAUCCGGAUUUACUGGGUGUAAAGGGAGCGCAGGCGGUACGGCAAGUCUGAUGUGAGAGCCCGGGGCUCAACCCCGGUACUGCAUUGGAAACUGUCGGACUAGAGUGUCGGAGGGGUAAGUGGAAUUCCUAGUGUAGCGGUGAAAUGCGUAGAUAUUAGGAGGAACACCAGUGGCGAAGGCGACUUUCUGGACAAUAACUGACGUUGAGGCACGAAAGUGUGGGGAGCAAACAGGAUUAGAUACCCUGGUAGCCCACACUGUAAACGAUGGAUACUAGGUGUAGGGUGUGAUAAACACUCUGUGCCGUCGCAAACGCAGUAAGUAUCCCACCUGGGGAGUACGGCCGCAAGGUUGAA
rnacentral:rRNA from 1 species